rnacentral:rRNA from 1 species
GCUUCUUUCCUCCCGAGUGCUUGCACUCAAUUGGAAAGAGGAGUGGCGGACGGGUGAGUAACACGUGGGUAACCUACCCAUCAGAGGGGGAUAACACUUGGAAACAGGUGCUAAUACCGCAUAACAGUUUAUGCCGCAUGGCAUAAGAGUGAAAGGCGCUUUCGGGUGUCGCUGAUGGAUGGACCCGCGGUGCAUUAGCUAGUUGGUGAGGUAACGGCUCACCAAGGCCACGAUGCAUAGCCGACCUGAGAGGGUGAUCGGCCACACUGGGACUGAGACACGGCCCAGACUCCUACGGGAGGCAGCAGUAGGGAAUCUUCGGCAAUGGACGAAAGUCUGACCGAGCAACGCCGCGUGAGUGAAGAAGGUUUUCGGAUCGUAAAACUCUGUUGUUAGAGAAGAACAAGGACGUUAGUAACUGAACGUCCCCUGACGGUAUCUAACCAGAAAGCCACGGCUAACUACGUGCCAGCAGCCGCGGUAAUACGUAGGUGGCAAGCGUUGUCCGGAUUUAUUGGGCGUAAAGCGAGCGCAGGCGGUUUCUUAAGUCUGAUGUGAAAGCCCCCGGCUCAACCGGGGAGGGUCAUUGGAAACUGGGAGACUUGAGUGCAGAAGAGGAGAGUGGAAUUCCAUGUGUAGCGGUGAAAUGCGUAGAUAUAUGGAGGAACACCAGUGGCGAAGGCGGCUCUCUGGUCUGUAACUGACGCUGA